rnacentral:rRNA from 1 species
UACGGAGGGUGCGAGCGUUGUCCGGAAUCACUGGGCGUAAAGGCGCGUAGGCGGCCUUGAUAAGUAGGGGGUGAAAUCCUGCGGCUUAACCGCAGGGCUGCCUUCUAAACUGUCAGGCUGGAGCACAGUAGGAGGCAGGUGGAAUUCCCGGUGUAGCGGUGGAAUGCGUAGAGAUCGGGAAGAACAUCAGUGGCGAAGGCGGCCUGCUGGGCUGUUGCUGACGCUGAGGCGCGACAGCGGUGGGGGAGCAAACAGGAUUAACGAAACCCU